rnacentral:rRNA from 1 species
UCCUACGGGAGGCAGCAGUGAGGAAUAUUGGUCAAUGGGAGAGAUCCUGAACCAGCCAAGCCGCGUGAGGGAAGACGGCCCUAUGGGUUGUAAACCUCUUUUGUCGGAGAACAAAACCCGGGACGAGUCCCGGACUGCGUGUAUCCGAAGAAAAAGCAUCGGCUAACUCCGUGCCAGCAGCCGCGGUAAUACGGAGGAUGCGAGCGUUAUCCGGAUUUAUUGGGUUUAAAGGGUGCGUAGGCGGCUGUGUAAGCCAGAAGUGAAAGCCCGAGGCUCAACCACGGGACUGCUUUUGGAACUACAUG